rnacentral:rRNA from 1 species
AUGAACGCUAGCUACAGGCUUAACACAUGCAAGUCGAGGGGAAACGAUAUUGGAAGCUUGCUUCCGAUAGGCGUCGACCGGCGCACGGGUGAGUAACGCGUAUCCAACUUGCCCAUCACUUGGGGAUAACCUUGCGAAAGUAAGACUAAUACCCAAUGAUAUCUCUAGAAGACAUCUGAAAGGGAUUAAAGAUUUAUCGGUGAUGGAUGGGGAUGCGUCUGAUUAGCUUGUUGGCGGGGUAACGGCCCACCAAGGCGACGAUCAGUAGGGGUUCUGAGAGGAAGGUCCCCCACAUUGGAACUGAGACACGGUCCAAACUCCUACGGGAGGCAGCAGUGAGGAAUAUUGGUCAAUGGGCGAGAGCCUGAACCAGCCAAGUAGCGUGCAGGAAGACGGCCCUAUGGGUUGUAAACUGCUUUUAUAAGGGAAUAAAGUGAGUCUCGUGAGACUUUUUGCAUGUACCUUAUGAAUAAGGACCGGCUAAUUCCGUGCCAGCAGCCGCGGUAAUACGGAAGGUCCGGGCGUUAUCCGGAUUUAUUGGGUUUAAAGGGAGCGUAGGCCGGAGAUUAAGCGUGUUGUGAAAUGUAGAUGCUCAACAUCUGAACUGCAGCGCGAACUGGUUUCCUUGAGUACGCACAAAGUGGGCGGAAUUCGUGGUGUAGCGGUGAAAUGCUUAGAUAUCACGAAGAACUCCGAUUGCGAAGGCAGCUCACUGGAGCGCAACUGACGCUGAAGCUCGAAAGUGCGGGUAUCGAACAGGAUUAGAUACCCUGGUAGUCCGCACGGUAAACGAUGGAUGCCCGCUGUUGGUCUGAAUAGGUCAGCGGCCAAGCGAAAGCAUUAAGCAUCCCACCUGGGGAGUACGCCGGCAACGGUGAAACUCAAAGGAAUUGACGGGGGCCCGCACAAGCAGUGGAGUAUGUGGUUUAAUUCGAAGCAACGCGAAGAACCUUACCUGCUCUUGACAUCCCACUGACAGGUCAGUAAUGUGACCCUUUCCUCGGAACAGUGGAGACAGGUGGUGCAUGGUUGUCGUCAGCUCGUGUCGUGAGAUGUUGGGUUAAGUCCCGCAACGAGCGCAACCCUUGUGAUAUGUUACUAACAUUGAGUUGAGGACUCAUAUCAGACUGCCGGUGAUAAACCGGAGGAAGGUGGGGAUGACGUCAAAUCAGCACGGCCCUUACGUCCGGGGCUACACACGUGUUACAAUGGCAGGUACAGAGAGACGGUCCUUUGCAAAACGGAUCAAAUCCUUAAAGCCUGUCUCAGUUCGGACUGGGGUCUGCAACCCGACCCCACGAAGCUGGAUUCGCUAGUAAUCGCGCAUUAGCCAUGGCGCGGUGAAUACGUUCCCGGGCCUUGUACACACCGCCCGUCAAGCCAUGAAAGCCGGGGGCGCCUAAAGUCCGUGACCGUAAGGAGCGGCCUAGGGCGAAACUGGUAAUUGGGGCU